GUGGGUAUAACUCAGUAGUAGAGUACGUAUAUAGCAUGCACUAGGUCCUGGGUUCAAUCCCCAGUACCUCCA
rnacentral:tRNA from 1 species